UUUUAUUGAGAGUUUGAUCCUGGCUCAGGACGAACGCUGGCGGCAUGCCUAACACAUGCAAGUCGAGCGAGUUGAUCCCUUCGGGGUGAAGCUAGC
rnacentral:rRNA from 1 species